rnacentral:rRNA from 1 species
GGACCCGCACAAGCAGCGGAGCAUGUGGUUUAAUUCGAAGCAACGCGAAGAACCUUACCAGAGCUUGACAUCCUACUGACAGAGAGGGUAAUGCUUCUCUUCCUUCGGGCAGUAGAGACAGGUGGUGCAUGGUUGUCGUCAGCUCGUGUCGUGAGAUGUUGGGUUAAGUCCCGCAACGAGCGCAACCCUUGUCUUUAGUUGCCAUCACGUAAAGGUGGGCACUCUAAAGAGACUGGCCGGGGAUAACUCGGAGGAAGGUGGGGAUGACGUCAAAUCAUCAUCGCCCCUUAUGUUCUGGGCUACACACGUGCUACAAUGGUCGGUACAAUGGGAUGCAAUACUGUGAAGUGGAGACAAAUCAACCAAAACCGGUCCCAGUUCGGAUUGCAGGCUAGAAACUCGCCUGCAUGAAGUCGGAGUUGCUAGUAAUCGCAGAUCAGAAUGCUG